AGCUCCAAUAGCGUAUAUUAAAGUUGUUGCGGUUAAAAAGCUCGUAGUUGGAUUUCUGCUGAGGACGACCGGUCCGCCCUCUGGGUGAGUAUCUGGCUCGGCCUUGGCAUCUUCUUGGAGAACGUAACUGCACUUGACUGUGUGGUGCGGUAUUCAGGACUUUUACUUUGAGGAAAUUAGAGUGUUUCAAGCAGGCGUCCGCCUUGAAUACGUUAGCAUGGAAUAAUGCGACAGGACCUCGGUCCAUUUUGUUGGUUUCUUGGGUUGAGGUAA
rnacentral:rRNA from 1 species